AUGUCCUGCGUGAUCCCCUGCAGGAGGUCAGCUCCGGGGGCCGGGGCUGCGUGGACCCGUUUUCAGAAGGCUGAAUAUCGUUACAGCCACGUGCACACAUCUCCCACUUCCGGGACCUUGGAAAACCUCUCCCCGCGGACGGAGACCCUCCUGAUGGUUGUAGAUCUCGCCUCCCUUUCGGACACCUGCCCCAAACGCGCGCAUCUGGUCCAUUUCUCCUGUUCCCCAACUGCUAUCCAAAGCCGAACCCGCUUUCCCGCGCCCAGCAGCCCGCGACGGAUCCCGGGAGGCGUCUCAACCAGCAGAGGGCGGCCGAGGAGCGCGCCCCGGGGGUGGGGGGCGGCGGACGUGGCCGGACGCCUCGGGGAAGGGCAGGGCCCGGCCGGCCCGCGGCCGAAGAGGUCGCCCAUUGCGGGAAGCGCUGACGUCACAGCAUCAGCAGAAUCCCUUCGCCUUCUCGCCUUCUCGCCGCCCGGGGCCACAGCCGGUGCGCAGCCCGAGGCUACUCCGUGGUCUCCACCGCCCGCUCUGGCAGGCAGGAAGGCGAGGGGCAGCCAGGCGGGGCGCGAGGGGCAACUCAGCCAGACCAGGUCCCGCGCGGACAGAGGUCUGCUGCCUGGCGCUGUGCCUGACCGGACCCGGGGUGCCCCUUUACCGAUGGGGGCAUCUCCCGGAGCUCCACACAGCCAGGUCUGCGUCCCUGGGAGAGGCUGUCAGCCGGCUUUGAGCCUCGUGUAAUUCUAAUUACCGAAUGCAGCUGGGUGCAGCUGUUUCUGCCCAGCCCCGUGUGUUCUGAGGUUCAUCACUGCUGCUGUCCGUGCGCACUGCUGCAUCGUGUUCCGAGGCAGAGCUACACCGCGGCGUGUUACUGCAGGACGCUGCUGGCAAGCGUUUGGGUGGUACCGUGUCGUUUCGCUGUCAGGAACGGGGUGCCGUGAAUAUUCUCUUGUUCCUCGGGGUGGUGGUUCUGAGGUUGCCUGCUCAUUAGAAUACCAGGGGAGGGAGCUUUUCAAGCCGCUUACCCCAGAGGCCCCCACGCAGACAUCAUCUGGGUGUGCUUGGGAGGGACCGAAUUCCCCAGGGAAAGUUAGGGCUGAGCUUCUGGGAUGCCACUGGUCGGGGAACAGGGCUGAGUGGGAUCACCUGCGGGGGACUGAGGCCAGGCGCUCCCCCAUGGGCUGUGCCCCCCAACCCCACCACUAAGGAAGCGAGUACGUGCUAGAGAAAUGAUGCGAACAGUAUUAAUUUA
rnacentral:lncRNA from 1 species